CCUACGGGAGGCAGCAGUGGGGAAUAUUGGACAAUGGGCGGAAGCCUGAUCCAGCAACGCCGCGUGAGGGAUGACGGCCUUCGGGUUGUAAACCUCUUUCGGUAGGGACGAAGCGCAAGUGACGGUACCUACUAAAGAAGCACCGGCCAACUACGUGCCAGCAGCCGCGGUAAUACGUAGGGUGCGAGCGUUGUCCGGAAUUAUUGGGCGUAAAGGGCUCGUAGGCGGUUUGUCGCGUCGGGAGUGAAAACCAGGUGCUUAACACCUGGCUUGCUUUCGAUACGGGCAGACUAGAGGUAUGCAGGGGAGAACGGAAUUCCUGGUGUAGCGGUGAAAUGCGCAGAUAUCAGGAGGAACACCGGUGGCGAAGGCGGUUCUCUGGGCAUGACCUGACGCUGAGGAGCGAAAGUGUGGGGAGCGAACAGGAUUAGAUACCCUGGUAGUCCACACCGUAAACGUUGGCGCUAGGUGUGGGGUCCAUUCCUACGACGUCGUCGCGCACGCUACGACAUAGUCGCCCGCCGUCGGUAGGUACGGCCGCGACGACGUAACGUACGAAGAAGUAGACGGCGNGUAAGACGUGCGACGGACGACGACGAGGGAGGAGG
rnacentral:rRNA from 1 species